GAUGAAGAACGUAGCGAAAUGCGAUACCUGGUGUGAAUUGCAGAAUCCCGUGAACCAUCGAGUCUUUGAACGCAAGUUGCGCCCGAAGCCAUUUGGUUGAGGGCACGUCUGCCUGGGCGUCACAUAUCGUUGCCCGAUGCCUAUUGCACUGUGAUAGGAAAUUCUAGGGCGAAAGAUGGCUUCCCGUGAGCGUUGUUGCCUCGCGGUUGGUUGAAAAUCGAGUCCUUGGUAGGGUGUGCCAUGAUAGAUGGUGGUCGAGUUUGCACGAGACCGAUCAUGUGUGCGCUCCCCAAAAUAUGGACUCUUUGACCCCACACGCGUCUUUUGACGCUCAUGACGAGACCUCAGGUCAGGCGGGGCUACCCGCUGAGUUUAAGCAUAUCAAUAAGCGGAGGA
rnacentral:misc_RNA from 1 species